rnacentral:rRNA from 1 species
GCUGCCCACAUGCAGUCGAACGGGGUCCCAUCCGGUGGCAACACUGNGAGAAGACUCAGUGGCGAACGGGUGCGGAACACGUGAGCAACCUGCCCCGAAGAUCGGGAUAACGGCGGGAAACUGCCGCUAAUACCGAAUGCCCCCACGAGCCCGCAUGGGUUUGUGAGGAAAGGAUUCUGCUUCGGGAGGGGCUCGCGGCCUAUCAGCUUGUUGGUGGGGUAACGGCCUACCAAGGCGACGACGGGUAGCUGGUCUGAGAGGACGAUCAGCCACACUGGGACUGAGACACGGCCCAGACUCCUACGGGAGGCAGCAGUGGGGAAUCUUGCGCAAUGGGCGAAAGCCUGACGCAGCAACGCCGCGUGGGGGAUGAAUGCCUUCGGGUUGUAAACCCCUUUCAGUGGGAACGAAAUUGACGGUACCCACAGAAGAAGCCCCGGCCAACUACGUG